rnacentral:SRP_RNA from 1 species
CAGUGGGAUAGGUCGGGGAGCUAGGGGUUCUCUGCACCGCAAAUCCUCUUAGGGCGGGACCGAAUGGCCGGGCGAGGUUCGUCCUUUGCCGCGGGAUCCGCGCCGAAGCGUCGAAGCCCUGCCCCUAGAGAUGGGUUCCUGUGUGAACCGGGCCAGGCCGAAAGGAGCAACCCUAAAUACUUGUGCUCAUGCUUUGGGGUAACGGGGUGGAGCCUAGGUGCGGCCAAUCCUUCGGCCGAGGGCGCAUCGAACUCGGCAAUCCCAUUG